UGAGUUUGAUCCUGGCUCAGGAUGAACGCUGGCGGCGUGCUUAACACAUGCAAGUCGAACGAAGCGCGCGGAAGGAAGGCCUUCGGGCCGGAGAGCCGCGGGACUGAGUGGCGGACGGGUGAGUAACGCGUGGGCAACCUGCCCCGUACAGGGGGAUAACAGCCGGAAACGGCUGCUAAUACCGCAUAAGCGCACAGCGCCGCAUGGCGCGGUGUGAAAAGCUCCGGCGGUACGGGAGGGGCCCGCGUCUGAUUAGGCAGUUGGCGGGGCAGCGGCCCACCAAACCGACGAUCAGUAGCCGACCUGAGAGGGCGGCCGGCCACAUUGGGACUGAGACACGGCCCAAACUCCUGCGGGAGGCAGCAGUGGGGAAUAUUGCACAAUGGGGGAAACCCUGAUGCAGCGACGCCGCGUGAGCGAAGAAGUAUUUCGGUAUGUAAAGCUCUAUCAGCAGGGAAGAAAAAAAUGACGGUACCUGAGUAAGAAGCACCGGCUAAAUACGUGCCAGCAGCCGCGGUAAUACGUAUGGUGCAAGCGUUAUCCGGAUUUACUGGGUGUAAAGGGAGCGUAGGCGGCGCGUUAAGUCUGAUGUGAAAACCCGAGGCUCAACCACGGGAGUGCAUUGGAAACUGGCGGGCUGGAGUGCCGGAGAGGUAAGCGGAAUUCCUAGUGUAGCGGUGAAAUG
rnacentral:rRNA from 1 species